AGCGAACGCUGGCGGCAGGCCUAACACAUGCAAGUCGAACGGAUCCUUCGGGAUUAGUGGCGGACGGGUGAGUAACACGUGGGAACGUGCCCUUUGGUUCGGAACAACUCAGGGAAACUUGAGCUAAUACCGGAUGUGCCCUUCGGGGGAAAGAUUUAUCGCCAUUGGAGCGGCCCGCGUCUGAUUAGCUAGUUGGUGAGGUAACGGCCCACCAAGGCGACGAUCAGUAGCUGGUCUGAGAGGAUGAUCAGCCACACUGGGACUGAGACGCGGCCCAGACUCCUACGGGAGGCAGCAGUGGGGAAUCUUGCGCAAUGGGCGAAAGCCUGACGCAGCCAUGCCGCGUGAAUGAUGAAGGUCUUAGGAUUGUAAAAUUCUUUCAGCGAGGACGAUAAUGACGGUACCCGCAGAAGAAGCUCCGGCUAACUUCGUG
rnacentral:rRNA from 1 species